UUAAAUGGGGUACAGUGUGGAUUCAGACGAUCCUCCUGGGAAGUAGGUUGCUCUCCACACAGGUACAGAUUUCACCGGAGCUGCUCAGGGAGCCAUUUGUACGGAGUUCCUCACCCUGGGCACGAACAGGUUCUACAGGAAGAGCCACAGCGCAGCGCAGCUGUGUUUCCUUUGCGUCCAUUCCCACACACAUAAAAACGAGGGCCUGACUUGAAACACGAUCUCUGAAAGCCACCCCCUCCCCGCAGUACUUACAAACUGAAAUCCUAGCUCUUUUGCCUCCAUUUAGCCAGUCCCUGGCUUUGAGAGCAAACGUGCCUCCUACAAGCAAAACCCUACUUAAAAGAAAGGCAGGAUGAAACUGAAAAUGACAAUGGAGCUGACAUGAAGUAUUCUAUGGAAAGACUGAAAGACUGUCCAUGCAACAGGGCCUUGUACGCAGCAGGCAACUGACUAAUUUCAUUCCCUUCCUUUUUGCCAGGGUUUUCUUUGAAGGAUAAGUAAGAGUCCCCUCCAUGCUCCUGUCAAAAUCAUGCAGAUAUUUCAGAGCAAUGAAAGGAGAAGGGGAAACUGAUGAAAGAAUUAUCCACCAGGCUGACCUAAUUUGUUGGGGCCUGUACAUUAGAGAAAUGGUCUGUAAUGGAAUAAGGAAUAUUCUAAAUCACCUGAAAUAUGAAGGGGCCUUAAAGAGUCAAAGCUCAAAGGUAGAAGGAGGCAAAUUUUCUAUUAUUUCAAGAAUAACUGGUGCCCAUAUAAGGUAGGAUUAUUACCAGGUAUAAUGUCUUAAGGGUAUGACAUGACUACUAUAUAUAUUAUUUAUGCAUGUGUAUGUAUAUAGACACAUUUGUAAUUCUCAUAUUAAAAUUGAAAAUAAUGUUUUGUCCAAGCCCAAAUUACCAUUUUUGGAGAUUUAAAUGUGUUUUAUUUGCUUUGCAACACAAAGUUAAGAGUAUGAAAUGGGACUGCUUUCUAAAGUGAUCAUUAAAUAAGCAUUAUAACCAUCAAUUAUUAGUAUUUAUUGUUGUUUAUGUGAUAGUCACUAGUAGGUAUAAGUUAUAAAUUGUACAAUUUUUAGAAUUUAUGGUGAAAAUACUUAUGUGGUAAAAAUAAAACUGUAAGUUAGGUCUCCAGAUUUCUUCCUACCCUACACCAAUCUAGAAUAACCAGUUGUGCCCUUCAGCAUCAAAAGAAGGAAGUAGAUAACAACAGAUGAAAUAAUAGCUGGGAUUAAUUUUGAGACCACUAAAUAAAUAAAUAAAAUAG